UACGUAGGUGGCAAGCGUUGUCCGGAAUUAUUGGGCGUAAAGCGCGCGCAGGCGGUCCUUUAAGUCUGAUGUGAAAGCCCACGGCUCAACCGUGGAGGGUCAUUGGAAACUGGGGGACUUGAGUGCAGGAGAGAAGAGUGGAAUUCCACGUGUAGCGGUGAAAUGGCGUAGAGAUGUGGAGGAACACCAGUGGCGAAGGCGCUCCUGGCCUGUUCUUGAUCGCUGAGGCGCGAAAGCUAGGGGAGCAAACGGG
rnacentral:rRNA from 1 species